UGCAAUAUAAUGUAAUGGUAACAUAUAAGACUCAUGUUCUUGAAAAGGCAGUUCAAUUCUGUCUAUUGCAC
rnacentral:tRNA from 1 species